rnacentral:rRNA from 1 species
AGAGUUUGAUCAUGGCUCAGAACGAACGCUGGCGGCAUGCCUAACACAUGCAAGUCGAACGAGACCUUCGGGUCUAGUGGCGCACGGGUGCGUAACACGUGGGAAUCUGCCCAGGGGUAUGGAAUAACUCAGGGAAACUUGAGCUAAUGCCAUAUGAUGCCGCAAGGCCAAAGAUUUAUCGCCCUUGGAUGAGCCCGCGUAGGAUUAGCUAGUUGGUGGGGUAAAGGCCUACCAAGGCUACGAUCCCUAGCAGGUGUGAGAGCACGACCCGCGCCACUGGCACUGAGACACUGGCCAGACACCUACGGGUGGCUGCAGUGGGGAAUAUUGGACAAUGGGCGAAAGCCUGAUCCAGCAAUGCCGCGUGAGUGAAGAAGGCCUUCGGGUUGUAAAGCUCUUUUACCCGGGACGAUAAUGACGGUACCGGGAGAAUAAGCCCCGGCUAACUCCGUGCCAGCCGCCGCGGUAAUAC